rnacentral:lncRNA from 1 species
GGGAUGUUCGUUUAUUUGGGCAAAUGUGUCUCGUUAGGGUCAUUCUGAAAAGAAGCCCAGUGUGCAGUCAUUAGCCCCUGGGGUAGCGUUGCUACUAAGUGGUUGGGGAGAAGUCAGGGAAGAGGAAGAGGUGGCGUUCCCCAGCCUCACCCGUGGAGACCCCAGCGAAGCGGGGGCAGGGAGGGAUGAUGAACCCUCAUCCUUUACCUCCUUCUCCAACCCUCCACUAGCGCUGCUUUCCUGGUCAAACCUGCAUCUUCACUGGGUCAUGCCCCAAGGCCUCUGAGGGACUUCCACAGUGGUAAGGAGGGCUGCCCUUUUUAUUUUUUUUUGGUUGUGGCUGAGAAUGCUGGAGAUGCUCAGUUCUCUCCCUCACAAGGUAGGCCACAAAUUCUUGGUGGUGC